AGAUUGAACGCUGGCGGCGUGCUUAACACAUGCAAGUCGAGCGGUAACGCGGGAGCAAUCCUGGCGACGAGCGGCGAACGGGUGAGUAAUGCUUGGGAAUCUGCCCAUUAGUGGGGAACAACCAGCCGAAAGGUUGGCUAAUACCGCAUACGCCCUACGGGGGAAAGCGGGGGAUCGAAAGACCUCGCGCUAAUGGAUGAGCCCAAGUCGGAUUAGCUUGUUGGUAGGGUAACGGCCUACCAAGGCGACAAUCCGUAGCUGGUCUGAGAGGACGACCAGCCACACUGGGACUGAGACACGGCCCAGACUCCUACGGGAGGCAGCAGUGGGGAAUAUUGGACAAUGGGGGCAACCCUGAUCCAGCGACGCCGCGUGUGUGAAGAAGGCCUGCGGGUUGUAAAGCACUUUUAGUGGGAUGAAAAGCUCAGGGUUAACACCUCUGGGUCUUGACCUAACCACAGAAAAGCACCGGCUAACUCUGUGCCAGCAGCCGC
rnacentral:rRNA from 1 species